rnacentral:tRNA from 1 species
GGUUUUAUAUUCAUUUAUGAUUUUAAAUUGCAAAUUUAAAGGUGUAUUUAUUACUAAGGCUU